UGGAAUGGGGGUUGGGGGCGUCCGGAGAAUGACCCUCCAAACUUUUUCUGCAAUGCCUGUGGAACAGCUAUCGGGCAGACCGAUGCAGAGGCUCUUUGUGCCGCGCAAACACUUUGAGCGGCGCACAGCUGAGCUCUUCUUUGUGGCCCACGUCUGCCCACGGAGAAGUGGAAGCUGUUGGCUGCCUUCCACAUAUCGCAGAUCUGGUUCCUCGGCAGGAAAAUGAGACGAUGAGAAACGCGGCGAGAAGAAGCAGUAAAAACCACAACGCGGAAGGCUUUGAGACCCAGUAGUGUGUCCAGAAGGUCCGCAAAGACCCAAAGUACACAGAGUCGGCAACAAUUACAAGUGGAGAACAGUACAUUCUGCCGUUCUGUGCCUGAACCAAGAACUCGGGCCUUGUUUUCCUUCACUGGCGCCGAAAACCACUCAUGAAUGAAUACAUUAGGUUACUGUAAUAUUUACCUAGCAAUCGAAAACAUUUUCUUUUUUCAGGAAAAAUAUUUAAGAUUUUUUGGGAUAAACUGAUAAAACCACAUAAUAUAUACUGUGUCUGAUGCACUUUUAUAGUCAUAGUCAAGACAAUGUUUAACUCUUUCAUUGGAUACUGUUUAAGUGGAUGGUAACUUUUUUAUGUUUAUUGAAAAAGCACCUUUUCCAGAAAACAGAGAGCCUUCUAGUUAAAGCAUAAUGGAGGCCAGCUGUCAAGCCGCCCCCUUGGUUGCUAAAGGUUUGAGCGACCAGCAUUCCUUUCUGCAAUCUUUCUCUCCUUAUUUUUCCCCCAGCGACUGACCAUACUAAAGCAAAGGCUCCCGAGGAGCAAGCUGCAUAUUUUACUUAUAAAGCACUUCUAAACUAACGGCCUGUUUGCUUUUCAAAAUUAUGACAAAGGUGUAUUUAAGCAUUUAGAAAAGAAACAUCCUUUACCAAAUGGUGCUUUUAUUCCACCAUUGAAUCUUAUAUAAAUGUCAUUGACAGUGGAUUAGAUUGUAAUGAGCAACUAUGUAAAACAUAAACUGCCCAAAAAUCUCUUUACUUACAAGCAAGAUUAAAAAUAAUACUUUGUUCUUCAGU